UACGUAGGGUGCAAGCGUUGUCCGGAAUUAUUGGGCGUAAAGAGCUCGUAGGCGGUUUGUCGCGUCGGCUGUGAAAACCUGGGGCUCAACCCCGGGCCUGCAGCCGAUACGGGCAAGCUAGAAUUCGGUAGGGGAGACUGGAAUUCCUGGUGUGAGCGGUGAAAUGCGCAGAUAUCAGGAGGAACACCGGUGGCGAAGGCGGGUCUCUGGGCCGAUAUUGACGCUGAGGAGCGAAAGCGUGGGGAGCAAACAGG
rnacentral:rRNA from 1 species